AAAUAGACCCUGCAUUUAAUAUGCAAUCUAAAGUAUGCGUACUAUAGAGCCACUAUGUCAAUGGACAUAGACUAUGGCUUAUGAUAUUUUAUUGAUGAUAAUAAUGAAAUGUAUGACUACUGAUGUAAUAGAAAAAAAGAUAGUUUUUAUUUAGGUAAUAUUUAUAGUGUGCUCUCCUGUACCUCAUCUCAUUUGCUGCCCAUGGUAACCCUAUGAGGUAGGUAAGGAAGGGAUUAUCUUUCCAUUUUUAUAGAUCAUGAAUUACUGCACAGAGAUUAAAUCAUUUGUCCAAGGUCAUCAGCGAGUAAAUGCUAAUGCCAGUGCCAGAACUUUUCUGAAAGAUGAAAAGACUGAUGACAAAGAACUUAUUAGUUAAGGUUUCAUUAGGACAGAAGACAAACUAGAAAUAUCAGUUAUCUAUGAGGGAAGGUGGCUGGAAAUCAGGUAAAUGAAAUAAAAUAUCAAGAAUAAAAAAAGAAGAAUUACGUUGAAAUUAUAAAAUAAAAUAUUUGAAAACGGGUUCUUCUCUUCGUAUUUAUUUCUAUGUAAAGGAUGACAAAUCCUUUGGAAGGAGAAUGACAUUUCUAUCAGUAGUUUGGCAUGCUGUAUAGGAGGAAAAGUGAAAAAUAUAUAAUCCAAAAUUUUGUAGAAGAAAACAUAAGCCCUUGGAGGGAGUUUCCAGAGGUAGAAGGAAGCCAAAUUUAGUAUCUAUGUUAGAGGAAGAGUGGAAGAUUUAAAAAACUAAGAAAACUAAAAUACUGUAUGAUUGAUCUCAUGGUGGACAUUAAUUUAAUGGCAGGAAAACAAAGGGCUUGGGCUAGGGAAAACAGCACAGAGGGGGAGCAUUUUAAAAUAUGCUAUUAUUUAGCUCAACACUUGCACUCAAUUCCCAGAAAAUAUUUUUCUCCCCAGUGGAAGAAAGUAUGAGUGUUAAAGUAUAUCCAGAAUUAUUUGAGAAAAUCCAACUGAGAAGUAUCUUUCCAAAUACUGAUUAAACCAGAUUUUAGUGAGAUUUCUCCAGUAUCCUGUCAACAACAUAGAGAUGAUUUCCUUUGAAAUAUGAAUGGUGGGGAUCCCUGGGUGGCUCAGUAGUUUAGCGCCUGCCUUCGGCCCAGGGCAUGACCCUGGAGUCCCGGGAUCGAGUCCCGGGAUCGAGUCCCACAUUGAGUCCUCCAUCGGGUUCCCUGCGUGGAGCCUGCUUCUUGCUCUGCCUGUGUCUCUGCCUCUCUCUCUCUCUCUCUCAUGAAUACAUAAACAUAAUCUUAAAAAAAAAAAAAAGGAAUGGUAUGUUGCUUAGCUAAACAAGUUUUUAAGUUACAUAGUUUAGAGCAGGGCAUUUAGCCUCUUACUACAUCUCAAAUUCUGCUUCACACUCGUGUAUUGCCUAUUUUAAUUCAUAGUUGAAUGCUAAAUGUUUGUUGUUGUUGUUGUUUUAAAUACUAUAAAAAAUAAAUAAAUACUAUAGAAAAAAGUAGUUAAGUGUGGGUUGGAGUAGGAAAACAGCAGUUUUGUUACCCCAAGAGGGAUGGUAUUCUUAAGUGAAAGCCUGCAUGGAAAGGCAAUAAGCAGCAGUAUUUAAACUCUGUUGUUGAUUAAUACUGUUAUAAUUUAGAAGGAAGUGUGCAUGUUGUAAUAUGAUUGACACAGGGUAUGAUUCAUCGCAGGGAAGAUAGGAGAGGGGAAACAAUCAGAAGGAAGUAGUAAAAUUGGAAAUGAUUAGGGCAACUAUUUGUUUUAGUUGGUUCAGGACAGUUGUGGUUUUACAUUUGUUGUCUCUGCAUACUUGUUAUUAACGUCUGCGCUUCCUCUCAAAAGUAUUCUAGUUUUAAUAAUACAUUAAAAAAAUAAUGAUGACAUUAUAUGGUCAUCUUAGAAAUGAUGGAAGCAUGGUACAUAUUAUCAGUGCCUUU
rnacentral:lncRNA from 1 species